rnacentral:rRNA from 1 species
UACAGAGGGUGCAAACGUUGCUCGGAAUUAUUGGGCGUAAAGCGCGCGUAGGCGGCCCGUUAAGUUAGUCGUGAAAUCCCAUGGCUCAACCAUGGAAGUGCAACUAAAACUGGCGGGCUUGAGUCCUGAAGAGAAUGGCGGAAUUCCCAGUGUAGAGGUGAAAUUCGUAGAUAUUGGGAGGAAACAUCGGAGGCGAAGGCGGCCAUUUGGGAAGGUACUGACGCUGAGGCGCGAAAGCGUGGGGAUCAAAC